rnacentral:rRNA from 1 species
ACAUAGGGUGCAAGCGUUGUCCGGAAUUAUUGGGCGUAAAGAGCUCGUAGGUGGUUCGUUACGUCGGAUGUGAAAACCUGAGGCUCAACCUCAGGCCUGCAUUCGAUACGGGCGAACUGGAGUGUGGUAGGGGAGACUGGAAUUCCUGGUGUAGCGGUGGAAUGCGCAGAUAUCAGGAGGAACACCAAUGGCGAAGGCAGGUCUCUGGGCCACUACUGACACUGAGGAGCGAAAGCGUGGGGAGCAAACAGGAUUAGAUACCCUGGUAGUCCACGCUGUAAACGGUGGGCACUAGUUGUGGGAACCUUCCACGGUUUCUGCGACGUAGCAAACGCAUUAAGUGCCCCGCCUGGGGAGUACGAUCGCAAGAUUA